UAUUAAUUUUGACACGAAGCUGCUGUUGAAAUAACAUCUCAGCUGAAAAAUAUCAUAUAUAGAGUUGGAGGAAAGGAUUUCCCUUCAUUCCUAAGAAUGGCAUUGAAAUCCAUUAUAUCGGAUGCUAUGGCCGUUAAUUUAACUUGGCGUGGAAUAAAUGACAAACCCAGUAUCCAACGCUUUACAGCAUUUGCACUAAUAAAAAAUGCCUGUCAUUCCAAAUAUUCGAACUCGACCGAUAUGGAUAUAGAUAAAGUGUAUCAACA